rnacentral:rRNA from 1 species
AGGACGAACGCUGGCGGCGUGCUUAACACAUGCAAGUGGAGCGACGAACCAGGGCUUGCCCUGGGGCAGAGCCGCGAACGGGUGAGUAACACGUGGGUUACCUGCCUCGAUGACCGGGACAACCCGAGGAAACUCGGGCUAAUACCGGAUGUGCCCGCAAGGGGAAAGGAAGCUUCGGCCUCCGCAUCGAGAUGGGCCCGCGGCCCAUUAGCUUGUUGGUGAGGUAACGGCUCACCAAGGCUUCGAUGGGUAGCUGGUCUGAGAGGACGAUCAGCCACACUGGGACUGAGACACGGCCCAGACUCCUACGGGAGGCAGCAGUGGGGAAUCUUGCGCAAUGCGCGAAAGCGUGACGCAGCAACGCCGCGUGGGGGAAGACGGCUUUCGGGUUGUAAACCCCUUUCAGUUGGGACGAAGCUUCGCCGGUGAAUAGCCGGCCGGAGUGACGGUACCUUCACAAGAAGCACCGGCUAACUACGUGCCAGCAGCCGC